UCAUAUGCCGGCCGGCCUACACAUGCAGUCGAGCGGUAGCACAGAGAGCUUGCUCUCGGGUGACGAGCGGCGGACGGGUGAGUAAUGUCUGGGAAACUGCCUGAUGGAGGGGGAUAACUACUGGAAACGGUAGCUAAUACCGCAUAAUGUCGCAAGACCAAAGAGGGGGACCUUCGGGCCUCUUGCCAUCAGAUGUGCCCAGAUGGGAUUAGCUAGUAGGUGGGGUAACGGCUCACCUAGGCGACGAUCCCUAGCUGGUCUGAGAGGAUGACCAGCCACACUGGAACUGAGACACGGUCCAGACUCCUACGGGAGGCAGCAGUGGGGAAUAUUGCACAAUGGGCGCAAGCCUGAUGCAGCCAUGCCGCGUGUAUGAAGAAGGCCUUCGGGUUGUAAAGUACUUUCAGCGGGGAGGAAGGUGUUGAGGUUAAUAACCUCAGCAAUUGACGUUACCCGCAGAAGAAGCACCGGCUAACUCCGUGCCAGCAGCCGCGGUAAUACGGAGGGUGCAAGCGUUAAUCGGAAUUACUGGGCGUAAAGCGCACGCAGGCGGUCUGUCAAGUCGGAUGUGAAAUCCCCGGGCUCAACCUGGGAACUGCAUUCGAAACUGGCAGGCUAGAGUCUUGUAGAGGGGGGUAGAAUUCCAGGUGUAGCGGUGAAAUGCGUAGAGAUCUGGAGGAAUACCGGUGGCGAAGGCGGCCCCCUGGACAAAGACUGACGCUCAGGUGCGAAAGCGUGGGGAGCAAACAGGAUUAGAUACCCUGGUAGUCCACGCCGUAAACGAUGUCGACUUGGAGGUUGUGCCCUUGAGGCGUGGCUUCCGGAGCUAACGCGUUAAGUCGACCGCCUGGGGAGUACGGCCGCAAGGUUAAAACUCAAAUGAAUUGACGGGGGCCCGCACAAGCGGUGGAGCAUGUGGUUUAAUUCGAUGCAACGCGAAGAACCUUACCUACUCUUGACAUCCAGAGAACUUUCCAGAGAUGGAUUGGUGCCUUCGGGAACUCUGAGACAGGUGCUGCAUGGCUGUCGUCAGCUCGUGUUGUGAAAUGUUGGGUUAAGUCCCGCAACGAGCGCAACCCUUAUCCUUUGUUGCCAGCGGUCCGGCCGGGAACUCAAAGGAGACUGCCAGUGAUAAACUGGAGGAAGGUGGGGAUGACGUCAAGUCAUCAUGGCCCUUACGAGUAGGGCUACACACGUGCUACAAUGGCGCAUACAAAGAGAAGCGACCUCGCGAGAGCAAGCGGACCUCAUAAAGUGCGUCGUAGUCCGGAUUGGAGUCUGCAACUCGACUCCAUGAAGUCGGAAUCGCUAGUAAUCGUAGAUCAGAAUGCUACGGUGAAUACGUUCCCGGGCCUUGUACACACCGCCCGUCACACCAUGGGAGUGGGUUGCAAAAGAAGUAGGUAGCUUAACCUUCGGGAGGGCGCUUACCACUUUGGUUACGGGG
rnacentral:rRNA from 1 species